rnacentral:rRNA from 1 species
GACGAACGCUGGCGGCGUGCCUAAUACAUGCAAGUCGAGCGGGGUAGCAAUACCCAGCGGCAGACGGGUGAGUAACACGUGGUCAACCUUCCCGACAGUGGGGGAUAACUAGCCGAAAGGUUAGCUAAUACCGCAUACGAUCUAUGAGAGGCAUCUCUUAUAGAUGAAAGGAGCAAUCCGCUUUCGGACGGGACCGCGUCCCAUUAGCUAGAUGGUGGGGUAAUGGCCUACCAUGGCGACGAUGGGUAGCUGGUUUGAGAGAGCGACCAGCCACACUGGGACUGAGAAACGGCCCAGACUCCUACGGGAGGCAGCAGUGAGGAAUUUUCCGCAAUGGACGAAAGUCUGACGGAGCGACGCCGCGUGUGGGAAGAAGGCCUUCGGGUCGUAAACCACUGUCGAAGGGGACGAUAAUGACGGUACCCUUGGAGGAAGCCCCGGCUAACUACGUGCCAGCAGCCGCCGUAAUAC